rnacentral:tRNA from 1 species
UGGGGAGUCGCCAAGCGGUAAGGCACCGGUCUUUGGAACCGGCAUGCGGUGGUUCGAAUCCACCCUCCCCAGCCA